GUCAUUUCCCACCCAAAACUAGCAAAUUUUGGGACAUUGGUUUUGAACAAACUUAACAAUACAAUAUCACUGUCCCAGGCUCUAGCUGAAUAACAUCAACAUAAAUAUAACAUAAUACUUUGUGUAAGCAUCUCGUACAACUGUGUUGCUGUGAUAAUGAAAUCAAAACACAUGCAUCCUGCAUCCAUGAAAGUGGAUAAUCGAAGAUCCUGCUCGCAGCUAUGCCUCAUUGCCUACCAUGGCCAAAACCUCUUUGAGGUUUACCGUAGUGUUCUCCGUCUGAUUGUUAUGUGUUGAGGAUGAGCUGAAUGUUACUGAUAUUGAUAGGUACCUGAUAUCUAAUUGUGGUCAAUGUUAAGUGUAAUACCGUGACAUCUUCCAAUGCCAAAGUUUAUUUCCAACGAGCCAAAGCUUAUUUGCAUUGCAAUUACGAGCGAUAGUGUGAUGUGUGGAACGUGUAGUAAGUACGAUUGGGAACCACUUACUCUGUAACCCAAAGUGGCAUGUUUGCAUAUAUGAGAAUGUUCAGUGUUCAUCGUCUUUAGAUAAUAAAAGCAUUGGCAUACCAGGAA